GGAGAACAGGUUGAAGAAUGGAGAUCUGAUUCUGUUCUGGAUAGUAGUGACAGAAAGAGAGGAAAAGCAGGAAGACGGCUGACAGUGAAGCUCUCUGCAGAUAAUCACACACGAAGCAGUUAUGGAUCCUGAUGCUUAAAUCUUUAUAUGUUGGAAAUGAUGGCAGCUUCUAUUUGAAUGGGUGGGAGAGCUGCACAGAACAAAAACACCCAAACAACAAGAAAAGAAACAGAAAAUGAAUCAAACUACUACUUUUCCAUCAACUCCAAAUAUAAAACCUGAAUUCCCCGGAUACUAUGCUCUCAUCCCACUGAUAGUGCUCACAUUGAGCGGAUGUAUAGUGGCAUUGGUGUUUUAUAUCAGAAAGAGAAGAAGAAUGGAUGAGUUGCGGCACCGUCUGAUUCCGCUGUACACCUACGACCCGGCAGAAGCACAGGAAGACUGGGGAGAUUAUGACAACGAUACGGAGGAAGAUCUGGCUGAACCUUUGUGCAAGGAGUCACAGCUGUCGUUAACCUCUGACUACGGAUCAUAAUUUCAAGAAGGAGGAGCUCGAUUAAGAAACUGAAUCUAGACUAAUUUCAGUGCAAGGCACCGACUGGCAAUAAUGGAACAAUCAAAACCAACCUGAUGCAGCUUGAAUUGUUCUGUUCAACAAUGCAGUGAUUUGUUGUAUUGGCCACCAGGUGGCACUGUAGACAUUUGCCUUAAUAAUGUUAUUUUUUUGCUUGCAAUGCCGCACAAAAUGUUUUCUUUCACAGCACUGAAUAUGAUUUAGUUUUACAGGAAUAAACUGAAAGAUUAAAGCUGGUUUGAAAAUUUUGUUUAGCAACCAAUAGUUACCUGCAAUGGGUUUUAAGACACACCUGUUUGUGAUUGGAUAUCAGUCAUAUUUUAAUUAAUUAGGGGGGGAGAGGCUUCCAUUUACAGGAUGAUGGAGCUGCAGAGAAAAAGAAGAAUGGACAUCCAGCCAUCCAUCCUUAGCUGGAACCUGACCUCUACUCUUUUGCUUUCUUCUCUGCUCCUUCCUGCUUUAACUGCAGCCAGCCUCCUUUGUAACUUCUGUCCCCUGCAGCACAAAAGCAAGUCCUGCACAAAUAUCACCAGCGAGUGUCUGCCCCACCAGCACUGCUCCAGUUCCCGGGGCCGGUAUGGCUCAGUCCACGUCCUGUCCUCUCAGGGCUGCUUGGAUGCCAAACUCUGCGACUCCCAUGAAAUGAUCUCCUAUCGGGGUGUGGAAUACAACAUCAGUCACACCUGCUGCUGCAGAGACGGAUGCAACCAUGUGCCACAGCCCAGCACCAACCUGCUGGAGCUGCUUGGGAUGAACAAAGAUAAUCCAGAGUAUAACACCAACACUCGAAUAAAGCGGGAGCUUUGGGACUCAUGUGUAAACUAUACAAACUAUUUCCUUUAAAUCAUAGUUUAAGGAUUAAGACUGAGGGGAGGCCUGUUAACCACAGGAACUUACUUUAGCGUCUAAAAGCCGACUAACAUUUAGUCAGAUGUUUGAAUGCUUUGUAACUUAAUUUUAAAUUGUGAAAACAUUGGAGAAAAUGUAUGUUGCGGUUUCUGAUUAUAUUCCAGAGAGAAGAGGUUGGAUUUGUCAUGCUUCCUCCUGGUAUACUGUGGCCACUGGCCCAUGCUGAUGAAUAAAGGCAUUGUAAUUAA